GACGAACGCUGGCGGCGUGCUUAACACAUGCAAGUCGAACGAUGAAGCCGGAGCUUGCUCUGGUGAAUUAGUGGCGAACGGGUGAGUAACACGUGAGUAACCUGCCCUUGACUCUGGGAUAACUGCUAGAAAUGGUAGCUAAUACCGGAUACGACCCUCGGAGGCAUCUCCAGGGGGUGGAAAGAAUUUCGGUCAAGGAUGGACUCGCGGCCUAUCAGCUAGUUGGUGAGGUAACGGCUCACCAAGGCGACGACGGGUAGCCGGCCUGAGAGGGGGACCGGCCACACUGGGACUGAGACACGGCCCAGACUCCUACGGGAGGCAGCAGUGGGGAAUAUUGCACAAUGGGCGCAAGCCUGAUGCAGCAACGCCGCGUGAGGGAUGACGGCCUUCGGGUCGUAAACCUCUUUUAGUAGGGAAGAAGCGAAAGUGACGGUACCUGCAGAAAAAGCACCGGCUAACUACGUGCCAGCAGCCGCCGUAA
rnacentral:rRNA from 1 species